GCCGAUGGCCGCGGCGAAGAGCUCGCUGAGGCAACCGCCUCCCGCCGCCCGCCUCCGCCGUCAGGGGCUCGCUUUCACCUCCCUCCUCUCCUCCCUGCGGCUUGCCGGGAAGUGUAGUUCCUCCUGUCGCCUGCCCCCUUGUCCCUCAGCCCCUCCUCAGGGCCGGCUCCGUGCCCGCUGGGGACAGCCCCGGGGAGGGCGAGGCAUGGUUGGGGGCCGCGGACCGAAAGUGGAGGUCGCGCUGGUGGUUUGGUGUAUUCUUACGUGUCGGGGAAGCGUUGAAAAGCUUUGGAGUAAGUCAGUGAAGCGCGGAGAUGUGGAGGAACUGAGCUGCCAAGUAAUGAAGCAGGAGAAAAGGGGAAGACUGAUAUAGAAAGCAAAGAUGCAUUUUGGAUGGAGGAGAAAGCAAUAAACAAUGACAUCACUGCUAGGUUCUGAAUUUC
rnacentral:lncRNA from 1 species